CCCUUAGAUGUUCUGGGCCGCACGCGCGCUACACUGACGAAUGCAACGAGCUUAUAACCUUGGCCGAAAGGUCUGGGUAAUCUCCAAAUUUCGUCGUGAUGGGAAUAAAUUAUUGCAAUUAUUAAUCUUCAACGAGGAAUGCCUAGUAAGCGCAAGUCAUCAGCUUGCGUUGAUUACGUCCCUGCCCUUUGUACACACCGCCCGUCGCUCCUACCGAUUGAAUGGUCCGGUGAAGCGUUCGGACCGUGGCCUUUGGACGGUUCGCCGUCUGUUGGCUGCGGGAAGUUCGUUAAACCUUAUCAUUUAGAGGAAGGAGAAGUCGUAACA
rnacentral:rRNA from 1 species